ensembl:lncRNA
GUGCGGGCCUCCCUGGGCGUCCUCCCCCCCCCCCCGGGGGUCCCGGGGCCCCUCGGCCCCAAGCGCCGUCUGGGGGGAUGGGCGUGUAAAAGGGGCGCAGGAAAGUUUGGGAGAGGUUCGCCCAGCAGGGGGCGCAGCGUGGCGGGAGGGGGGCGUUGCCGGAAGAAGCUGGGGCCGAGACCCGAAGGACCCCCCCGCCCCCCCCCUGGAAAGGGGGCGGGGCUGGCGACCAGCCCCAGCCAGCGAGGGGAGGAGAGUUAGCGGCUCGGAAUAAAACCGGCCACCGGAGGCGAGGAGGCGGCUGGUCCCGGGCCGUGAGCUGGGUGUGCCCAGGUGUGAGAGCCCCUGCGGCCCGGGGCCGUGAGCUGGGUGUGCCCAGGUGUGAGACUCGGGCGCCCGGCGGGGACGCGCCCGGAAAGAGCCGCUGCCGGGACUCUGGGCGCCCGGAUGGCGGAUGCGGAAGAAGCCCCCAGACCCACGCUCUGCGGCCCCGCCCCCACUUGCCCUCUGGCGCCCUGCCCCCUCCCGCGGCCUUCAGGAAGGAGUCUGAAGGGCUCCUGGCUGCCCCUGGUUCCAGUUGUCUUAUCUCCCCUGAUCCCACGCCCUCGGGCUGCCCCGGCUGCUCCCGCUGCCCUUUGCUCCUUCCCCACCCUUGUUACUUCCAGGACCUUUGACUUAGCGUCCGUUUCCUGCUUCUCCCCUGCCCAGGGACGGGCUCCACGGCUGCGUGUGGCUUUCCCCGUUAGGGGCUGAGCUCCUUACAGGCACAUGCUGUGCUUUGCCUUUCUUCCUGUCCUCGGUGCUGAGCACUAGCGUCUGGCGCACAGUAGGUGCUCAGAAAACCUUUAUUAACCUUUCUUCCACAAAAGGACUCUUCUGGUAUUGGAGGAUGGCUGUCCGGUCCCCCUAAUAUCCCCCUCAUAUCUGUUCUCCAAAUAAAAUGCCCUCGUCUCCUUCAGCUGACCCCCACCCGGCCUGGUCUCCAGCCUCUUCCCCAUCCUUUUGGACCCCAAAGAUUUAGGAGUCCAGCUUCCUCGUUUUGUAGACCAGAAAUCAAGUCCUGGAAGAAGAAGAAGGUUUGACUCCUUGGAGAGCACUAUGGGAAGAAAAAGGUCAUUUGCCUUUCCCUGGAUUGCCCAGUCUUUCUUCUGAUCUCCCCAGCUCCGUUCUCCUCAGGUUCACUCCCAUAAGUGUCCUUGGGGCGUUCCCACUUUGUUGCCAAAAUAAUCCCCAUAAACCCCGGCCCAGGCAGCCCCAGCCCCCAAAUCUUUGAUGACAACUACCUAGAAAAUGCAGGACUCUCCACCAUCGGAGGGGUGACCAUCACAUGCAGCUCCCUGUCAUAGGUGAACCCCCUCCCCACCCUUUCCUUCUCUGUCCCUUUGCCUGGGGUGCCCUCCCCCAUUUUCUCUACUUAAGCGCUCCCCUUCUUUCAGGGUCCAGGCUAAGCCCUCACUCUCGUACAGAAGCCUUCCCCAAGGUCCCUAGGCUCCGGAACUGCUCUUCUUUGUCACAGAGCUUCCUCCCUGCCCCCUGCAUUAUCUGCCAUCCUUUGGGCCAUUUUAUUUCCCCAAUUUGGUUAAAGUUCACGGUCUAGAUUCUGGUUUGUCCGGGAGCCAGGACAAGAGGUGAGGGCUGAACUUGGAGGACGGGGCAAGGACUCGGGGCAAAGCCCAGUUCAGCACAACAGGGAGCCCUGAGUUCGCUGGUCUGGCGGGAGCCAGGAGGCCAUGAGGAAACCUGGUGGGAAGUAAAACUAGAAAGACAGACACGGCUCACACCAUGGGAGAAAGUCACCAGAUGCCCGCUGUACCAGGUGCCAGGUGGCUCUUCAAAGGCGGGUCCUAGAGAAUAGACACUGCCAAGGGAAAUGGACUCCUUGGAUCUCGGCGCUCCUCUGAGGUCAGGAGGGCGGGCAUUUUGCUUUCCUCCGACGGUCCUCCCAAGUGCCUGCUCUUCUGGUCCUCCCUCCCCAAUUAGGACUCACAGGCUGAUUCCCUGGAUGAGGACGACAGUGGGAAGAGACCCCAGACCUGCACUUCUGAACUCGGCUGUCCAGUGAUUGGUGACUUCGAGGGAUGAUGUCUUACCUGGCUCAUGAAUGGGAUUUCAGUGAGGCAGUUGCCCAGUCAUCAGAGGUCGUGGAAGACGAAAGCCAGGGGGGCUGGCAGUGACGCGGGAGGUAGUGGAGACACCCGACCAAGCUCCAAGCUCCAAGCCUUCGUGGCGCCAGAACGGAUCGUAGACGUCUUCCCGUGUUUGGGGCAGACGUACUCGUCCGGGGCUUUGAGGCCCACCCGCUGAGACGGUUUUACUGGGAAGAGGCUGUUUUGUGUGCCACAACUCCUUGGAACCGUAGGACAUGAGCGCCUGACAUUGAGUAGUGAGCCCCAGGAUAAGGAGCGGAGGACAGGCAUUUCCCGGAGUAGCGCAGGAGGAGAUUUCCUGGAGUAUUUCUUUACAAACG